UUUGCUGUAUGCAGUAUAGUUGGAGUUUGCAUAUAUGGCGACCUGCCGAUUAUCAAUGACUUUCUGAGUUGGUCGUUGUUCCGGCCCCUCGGGAGGUUAUCCUAUGGGAUCUACUUGCUUCAUGCCAUGUUCCUGGAACGGAUAAUAUUUUCUACCAGAGCCCCGUUGAAGUACGAUCAUCUGGAAUUUUACUCAAAUCAACACAGUUUUACCCAGAAUGUGAAAAAUGCCUGACUGAACCUGCAUACCUGAGAAGUACUCUAUAGGAAU